GAAGACUUUUAAAAUAGAGACCAACGUGGCCGGGCAGGAAGAGCAGGGUCCCGCCUUCAGGUGUUUGGGACUCAGCUGAGGGUGUGGGUGCCCCGCGGUGGGGGCUGAACCUUCCUGGGGUGUGGAGAGACGAAAGGAGCCCAGAUCCAAGUUCCCUCGUUCCCGCUUUGGCAUAAGUUGCCCUGGCGGUCUCAUGAGAGAGAGAAAGAGCUGGGACCCUCCUCGCCCCAGUGAGUGUGAUGUCUUGCUCCGGGUGUCCUGGGGCAACUUUCUAUACAGGCGGGACGUGGGAGGAUCAGACAGUGUAACAUCAGACAAGGGUGUUGACUCUGCAGCACAGAACCAGUAGUUUGUGGAGAAGAAUGGAGGUGUGGUGUUGAAUCUGCUAGACAGGCUACUGAAGCAAAAGUCAAGAGAUCCAGAUUCCAUCAUGGGGACACUUUAGUUCUUCAUCGGGUAAUUGAGCUGAUAUCAGGUGUCUGAAGGAGGCAAGUUUUGAAGAUGUGGGUCAUGAUGGCUGCUGAAGCUUCCACUCCAUAUUUGAAGGUCAGCAGUUCUCAGGAAACCUCUAGCACUUCCAUCCCUGGUGGGAUGUGAUGCCUGUCUCAGUGUAACAUCAGAGAAGGGGUGUACUCUGUGCCCUAGAACUAGGAGCUAACAGAGAAAAACCAAAUGUGAUGUGGAGUCUGCUAGACAGGCUACUGGAGCAAGAGUGAAGCGAUGAAAGUCUCAUCAUUGGGACAUAUUAGGGAGGCAGCAGGUGGCUGAAAUCCUGGUGUGAUGUGGCUGGAUCAUGCAUGAUCUGAGGACUCCUGCACAGGUGACUGCAGGAUGAGUACAGAAUUUUUCUAUAAAUAUACUAAAAUACCAAGUAAGCCAGGAGCAGCCACUAGGCAAACACCAAACCUUGCAUUCCUGGCCAAACCUAUCACAGAGCUCAUCAGGUAAGUUCAAAGACACACCUGUCUUCCCAGCAUUGGGAACUGGAUUGGGGUCUACUCAGAGGCAUGAUGUUGACCAGAUUUUAUGAAACACCCAAGAAUGUAGAGAACAUUCUGUCUUUAAAACCUUGAAUUCAAAACAUAUCAGAGAGAGAUUUACUUCCCUUAUAUGGAUGUCUGUGUUCUCAUUAGGAGAGAAACAAUGAAAAAUGACUUUUCACAAUGCCUGCCUUAGCCGUGAGGCUCAGCCAACCCCCACUUCUAUGUCUCAGCAUUUAAAGGGCAAUUGAAGUCCCACUCCAUGCUAUAUACUCUCAAGAGGUUUUCUCAUUUACCCUUCAGAACAGCUCUGUAAAGAUGGUAUGGUCAGUCCCAUUUCACAGAUGACUAAGCUCAGGCUCACAGAGCCUAAGUCACCCCUCCAGGUAAGUGGCAGGGUUGGAAUGAGGUUCUAUUCCUCACCCUCCCUAGAGAACCCUGAGCAGCUUCCGUUUUAGAAGAUGGGUUUCCAGGGCUUGAGAAAUGGUCAGAUUCCCCCCUGAUAUUGUGGCCCCACAGGUCCUCACUCCACAACCCCUCUGGGUGAUGAGGAAGACAGAAGAGGUGAAAUCCUGCGCUUUGUGCCAUGAGAUCUGGGUGUAGGGCCACAGGAGUUAGCUAAUCCUUGAAGUGGUGAGUGGGCUCAGGCAGAAGCUCAAGUGUUGGCCUUGGGACAG
rnacentral:lncRNA from 1 species